GAUGAACGCUGGCGGCGUGCCUAAUACAUGCAAGUCGAACGCAUUGAGAGAAGUGCUUGCACUUUUCAAUUUGAGUGGCGAACGGGUGAGUAACACGUGGGCAACCUACCUGAUAGCGGGGGAUAACGAGUGGAAACAUUCGCUAAUACCGCAUAACAAUAGAGAAGGCAUCUUCUUUAUUUAAAAGGCGCUUUCAAGCGUCACUAUCAGAUGGGCCCGCGGUGCAUUAGUUAGUUGGUGGGGUGAAGGCCUACCAAGACGAUGAUGCAUAGCCGAGUUGAGAGACUGAUCGGCCACAUUGGGACUGAGACACGGCCCAAACUCCUACGGGAGGCUGCAGUAGGGAAUCUUACACAAUGGACGAAAGUCUGGUGGAGCAACGCCGCGUGUGUGAUGAAGGCUUUCGGGUCGUAAAGCACUGUUGUAUGGGAAGAAAUGCUAGGCUAGGAAAUGAGCUUAGUUUGACGGUACCAUACCAGAAAGGGACGGCUAAAUACGUGCCAGCCGCCGCCUAA
rnacentral:rRNA from 1 species